rnacentral:tRNA from 2 species
GCCGGCGUAGCUCAGAUGGUAGAGCAGUCGAUUCGUAAUCGACAGGUCGGGCGUUCGAUUCGUCUCGCCGGCACCA